UACGAAGGUCCCGAGCGUUGUUCGGAAUCACUGGGCGUAAAGGGAGCGUAGGCGGCGCGGUAAGUCAGAUGUGAAAUCCCGGGGCUCAACCCCGGAACUGCAUCCGAUACUGCCGUGCUAGAGGAUUGGAGAGGUAGCUGGAAUUCUUGGUGUAGCAGUGAAAAUGCGUGGAGAUCAAAGAGGAACACUCGUGGCGAAAAGCGAGCUACUGGACAAUAUCUGAC
rnacentral:rRNA from 1 species